rnacentral:misc_RNA from 1 species
GUUCUCAAGCUCUUCUUUGUUCCGGUGUGGAGAUGGCCGGGAAAAGAGCCGGUGAUGUACUGCAACGACUGCAAACUCUUCUUCCCUCAAUCUCUAACUCCUCCUCCGCCGUCGUCUACGGCGGACGUACUUAGAUGUCAGUUCUGUCGCCGGGAAGUGGACGCCGAUUUCCGAUUCUGUCCCUUUUGUGGUAAUGCACUGUGACUGAAUAUUCUAUAUUAUGUAAUUACAGUCGCUUCUGGGUUUGAAAUACUUUGUAAUUAUGUUCCUCUUCCUGUCUUGUAAUCAAUGAGUUUGUGGAAUAAAUUUGAGCUUUAG